rnacentral:rRNA from 1 species
GACGUCGCAUGCUCCCGGCCGCCAUGGCGGCCGCGGGAAUUCGAUUAGAGUUUGAUCCUGGCUCAGAUUGAACGCUGGCGGCAGGCCUAACACAUGCAAGUCGAGCGGCAGCGGGGGGAAGCUUGCUUCCCCGCCGGCGAGCGGCGGACGGGUGAGUAAUGUCUGGGGAUCUGCCCGAUGGAGGGGGAUAACCACUGGAAACGGUGGCUAAUACCGCAUAACCUCUUUGGAGUAAAGUGGGGGACCUUCGGGCUUCACGCCAUCGGAUGAACCCAGAUGGGAUUAGCUAGUAGGUGGGGUAAUGGCUCACCUAGGCGACGAUCCCUAGCUGGUCUGAGAGGAUGACCAGCCACACUGGGACUGAGACACGGCCCAGACUCCUACGGGAGGCAGCAGUGGGGAAUAUUGCACAAUGGGCGCAAGCCUGAUGCAGCCAUGCCGCGUGUAUGAAGAAGGCCUUCGGGUUGUAAAGUACUUUCAGCGGGGAGGAAGGCAACAGCGUAAAUAGCGCUGUUGAUUGACGUUACCCGCAGAAGAAGCACCGGCUAACUCCGUGCCAGCAGCCGCGGUAAUACGAAUCACUAGUGAAUUCGCGGCCGCCUGCAGGUCGACCAUAUGGGAGAGC